GCAUGAUGGAUCAUUGACUUGGUCCAAAAGAGCUCUUCUUAUGCCAGUUAACCACUGGAAAUGACAUUGAAACGCUGGAAAAGGGAAAACGUCUGUGGCGUGCAUGGUUCUUGUUGAAGUAAGAUUUUGGCAAAUGCAGUUACUCAAAUUGCUGAAUUCAAAGUUCUGAUCUGACAGAUCCUUUCAAGAGAGACAGAACUCAGGCUGCAUUCUCCACUUCUGUCUCCUCUGUAUGGGCUGCUCUUGCUGUGGGGGGAUGGCUUUGCUAGCCUAUGGGAUGGAUAAUCCCAGGUUUCUUUCUCUGCACUAGGCUCCGGAUGUGUUUUUGUACGCCCUCAUCUGUAAUUACAGUGGGAGAAAUAUCAAGAAGACGCCAGUUCGCUCCAAGCGAAGCAUCACAUGGAGAUGCCUUGCCUGUUCUGCAUAGUGACACAAAGGUAAGGAAACUCUAUCUCCAUGCUGUCACUAAUGCAGCAAUGUUUUCCUGGCCAGGAACCAAAAUGUCAUCUUGGUGUAAACAGCAUCAGAGGAUUUAUUACAGCAUUUGUACCACCGUGUGUGUGUGUGUGUGUGUGUGUGUGUGCGUGUGUGUGUGCCUUUUCACAUGUUAUUUAGUUUUAGAAUAUCUGGAAAGAUUCGGAUUUAAAACCAUAUGCCCUGUUAUUUUGUCAUCUUAAAAAUUCUGCGCUUGCUGUUUUCACAUACAUAUAUGACCAGUUCUGUUUGCAGAACUGGACCAGAAAGCAUUGCACGAGGCCAGCGACAUUUCCAAAGCUGGCAAUGGAAAUUUAGGAACAAGCUGCCCCAGGAAGGUGGGCCAAUCUGUAAAUAAUCUGUCAUGUGCCCUAGUCCCCAAAGUCCUGGAGAUCUGUUCCUAAGCGUUUGACGCCAGAGGGGGGCUGCGAUUACCACUCAUCAGGAAAGCAAGGGAAGUGAUUUACCUUACUGUUUUCUGCAUCUUCUCAAUCUAUAUUUGGUCUUGCUUGACAUUACAGUAGCACUCCCUGUCACCUGAAUUAUCCUGUGCAGAAAACCCCCCAGUGAUUUCUAUAGAAGGAAAUCAAAGGGCAAAGGAGUGAAAUACUGAGCCUUAAGGGCAAGGAUUGUGCAUUUUGACACUAAAUGUUUCGGAAGGAAGUGAUUUGGCACCUACCUGCUGUUCCUUUCCCUGUGAAGUUCAGUACCUAUUGUAAAGCUCUCUAUGGAGCCUUGCAAGGGGAAAGCAACCAGGUGAGGUCCAGGGGGUGUUAAAUUUAAUUUUCAACAGAAAAGUAGCAAGCAGGAGAAGGGGUAAGUUAGUCUUUCCCAACAUGGUUUUGCACUGCAGUUCCCAUCUGGUGUAGCCAAUGGUCAGGAAUUAUGGGAGUUGUAGUCCAAAACAGGUGGAAAGCACCAGGUUGGGAAGGCUGAGUUAAACACUCCCCUCACACCAGCUGCUACUGUGCUAAAAAAAAAAUACCCCCCCAGCUGCUUUUCCCUACAAGAAACAGCUGUCAAGGCCAUUUGGAAUUUGCUGCGUCUGAUAAAAAUGCAGCCUGGUAAUCAAUCCUGGGCAAUAAAUGUCAUAAAUUUGGUUCCACUUGAGGCAACAUGUUGGGUUUCAUCUGGAAAAUGGAGUAGAACCGAGCAGUGCUUCAUGCAAAUUUAUUUAUUUUAUUUAUUUGUAUUUAUUAAAUUUCUAUACCGCCCUUCACACAUAAAAACACAGUAUGAAAAAGCAUAACAUACAUAUUAAAAAUAUGAAACAAACACAAACCAAUAAUCCCCAAUCCCAUCCUGUACUGGGUUACAAAAUAUUCAGCUAAAAGCCAAGUUGAUGGAACAGGAAACAAGCACUAAUCAUCCCAGUUUUGUGCCUGACCAAAUACUCAGAAAACUUGCAUCUUAGCAGAACUCUCAUAUGAGUGUGUCUUUGAUAAGCUUCUGGUAUUUUUGCAAUCCUCACCCUGUUCAGGCAUUUAAAGGCAAGUAAGAGAUUUUGCGAGUGGAGGGAGCGGCGGAUGAACCCAUUAGUCCCAGCCUCUCUGCUGCAUCUCCUUACACAGGUCUGAGGCCUUCCUGGCUUUGUGCAAAAUGAAAUUCUGCAGCAGAGAACCCGCCAAACUUGCGUAGGCUCAUUGUGCAAUUUAGAACCCUGAUUAGGCAGAGUUCUAAGCUUUGCCAAGAGCUUCCGCUGAGGUGGCGAACAGGAGGUCUUCCCAAUGUUGCCAAACCGUAACUUUAUCAGGGGCGUAGCAAGGUGGGUAUGGUGGGCGUGGACCGCCCCGGGUGUCAUCUCGGGGGGGGGGGGAGGGUGACAUUUGGUGCCAACCCUCCCCUACAAAAAGCUCAACAACUCCUAGCAAUGACAAUGGGUAGUGUUAUGUAUUGAAGUUCUCACCCUGGCCACCAGGAGUAUUGUGCAUGUAGUUUUCACUCAGGUCCACGUCAGUUAUUUUAGGCGGGAAACCCUGGGUUGUUGUUGCUACAAUGUUGACAGCCGGCUGCCUAUAAAAGCAGGCCGGCUGAGCUGUUUGCUGUUCAGUUAUGUGACAGCUUACAAAUAAAGAGCUGCUUUGGAGAAAUCGCUGUGUCGUCUGCUAUGUCUACCCACUAUUUAACUGGUAGAUCACAGGCAGUCUUUUCAUACUGGGAGUAGAUCGCAGUCUCUUGGGAGUCCAACUAGAUUUGAAUGUGGGGUGUGUGUGUGUGUGUGUGUGUGUGUGUGAGACAAGAACUUUUCCAUACUGGGUACUGCCUGACCUUGCUACGCCACUGACUCUCAUAAUCUGUGAUCAUUUGGCAGGGCUGGCUGGGGCUGCUGGGAGUUUUAGUUCAACAAAAUCUGGAGAGCCACGCAGUUUGGCCACCCUGGCCUGCAGCUCAGCUUCUACUGCGUUCUGUCUGCUGCAGAUGCUUGCUCUGCAACAGCAGAAGGGCUGCAGAACUGGGUUAAGUGACACAGUGAAGGGGCAAAACCAAUGGACUCAGCCUUGCUUCACCCCUCGUGCAAUUUCCAUCACAGUGUUGUGAGACGUGCAACCCUGCAGAUGUUCCUGGACUACAAUUCCCAUCAAAGCUGGCCAUUUGCCAUCCUGGCUAUGGCUGAUGGGAGUUGCAGUCCAGCAAUAUUUGGAGAGAAACAGGUUCUCCAUUCUUGCUGCAUCACAUGUAAGCCUGAACAGGGCCAGGGUUGCGGAUACAGCAGCUACUAAUAUAAGGGCCCAAGUAAAUUGCAAUUAUGUACACAGCUCUCUUCCCUCAUGUGAUCUCUCCAUCACAUGUCUUUAAAUGCCUGAACAGGACUCCUGUCUUCUCUCACAGGAAUUCAAGGCCAACUUCUCAGGCUUGUUUCUUAUGUAACCCAAUGUUUUUAAUAUUAAUUACCUCCUCUCUUUUGCAUAUAGUACACUUUGUCUCUCACAAAUGCUGGCAAUUUGCCACGAGAUCAAUCUUCAUGUGGCAACCACCAGAUCUCACUGCUGAAAUGGGGUGGAUCUGCACACGGGGGGGGGGGGGGAUGCUAUAAAUAAGUCAGAAAUUAAAUCGUUAUAACGAAAUAAAGAAAGAACCCUAUGUAAAACUAACAUAGAAAAUUUAUUUGCUCUCUGGCUCCAUCUGGUGUUGCAUGUUUAUAACACAUUCAAAGCGUCACCUUUUUUUACUACUGUAGCUGAGUCCAUGGUUGUGGUAAAAACAAAGGGCUUUCCCACACUUCCGCUUGUCCCGUGCCUAGAAAGGACAGAGCCUUGCACUUUUCUUUUUGCCCUGCCACUUUCCCAUGAAAAACCUGCUCUUUUGUGCUAACUUGGAACAAAUGGCUAUUCAUGGAAAACCUGAUAAUUGUUUGUUCACUGCUGAACAGCAGUUUAUCUCAGGGGAAAGUGGCAGAGUGAAUGGAAGUGUGUGGGUGGGCCCAAACUCUCCAAAAUGUAGCGUUUGAGAGUCUGGCAUACCGUAUUUUUCGCCCUAUAGGACGCACAUUUUCCCCUCCAAAAAUGAAGGGGAAAUGUGUGUGCGUCCUAUGUGGCGAAUGCAGGCUUUCGCUGAAGCCUGGAGAGCAAGAGGGGUCGGUGCGCACCAACCCCUCUCGCUCUCCAGGCUUCAGGAAGCUCUGCGCAACCCUCGGGAGACCGGCUCCGAGGGCUGCGCAGAGCUGCCUGCAGUCCCGGGCUCCGCGCAGCUCUGCGCAGCCAUCGGGAGCGGGGCGCGAAGUCCCGCCUGGCUCCCGAUAGCUGCGCAGAGCUGCCUCCAGUCCCGGGCUCAGCGCAGCUCUGCGCGGCCAUCGGGAGAGGGGCGCAAAGUCCCGCCCGGCUCCCGAUGGCUGCGCAGAGCUGCCUCCAGUCCCGGGCUCAGCGCACUUCUCCCCAUCGCCAGCCCCACAAGCUCGGGGGACAGCGGGGAGGCGGAGCACGCCUUCCCGCUGUUCCCCGACCUGGUUCUUCCAGCCCCGCACCUGGGGGGGAAAUAAUUUUUUUUUCUUUAUUUCCCCCCCAAAAUACUAGGUGUGUCCUAUGGGCCGGUGCGUCCUAUGGGGCGCAAAAUACGGUAAGUUGCUCCUAUCAACAGGAGGAAGGCAAGCUGCAGAUACACCUCUAACAUGGCAGGGCUAUUUGACAACUUAGUUUUAUUUCUUCAUCACCAUUUAUUUAACAGCAUUUAUUUACUCAAACCUCAACACAGUAUAGAAAAGAGAACCCAACCUUGUUUGAUUUUCCCUUUCCUGAUUGCUUCUCCUUGCUUUAAAGCUGGUAAGCAAAAUAUGCAGAGGAAAAUGACACCACUGAUUUACCCCUCUCCUUCUCUAAACUUUUGUAAGUCUUGGGGCCUUGUGUCCUUCCGUUUAUGCCUCUUCUGCUUACUAUUCCCAUGAGGUGUCUGGCAUCCCAGCGGCAACACAUGGGUAUUACAAAAAUGUGCAAAGAGUUAAUUUAAGAUUCUCAGCUAUAUGCUAGGAAUAGAGUUGGCAAAGAAUGCACCACACCUGUACUGAAAUAUCUGCAUGGGUUACCAGUUUGUUUUUCCAAGCUGAAUUCAAGGUGCGGGUUUGGAUCUUUAAAGACUUAUGUGGUCUGGGCCUUAUUUGAGAGAGCCCUUCCACCCCAAUGAGCCCACUUAAGAGUUUUAAAACCUGCCAACUUCCUGCUGAACACAAAUGUUGUUUAUUUUUUUACUUUUUGUCCCACUUUUGUUGCCCCUCUAGAUGGCAAGAAUGCAAUAACAUCAGCAGAACGAUGUGUGGACAGUCCAGUAUAAAUCCAUCACUAAUGCACUAUUAUUGCUUCAGUGGCACUCUGCAGAGCACAAGCAGCAACAAAGAAAAACAGAAUGGUCAGUAGGAGGAGGAGAAGGAGGAGGAGGCCUUUUUCUGAUAUCGCCCAGCAAGCUCUAUCUCUUUCUCUUCCCAGGAGCAGAAUCCAAGCCAAGUGAUACCACUGAAUAUAGAACCCUUUAUCUUCUUCGGCCGAGUAAGAUUGUCUUCCAUAAACAUGGUUUUAACAGUAAGUGACUGUGGAGGCCAAUUCUGGACCCACACGUCCUUCCACAGUGGGGACCUUGGUUUCCUGGCAGGAGUUGAUCACGGUGUGGAUUUGCCAAGCGUGCCUUUCUCUUAGCAUGUUUCUCCCUUGCAUCCUGAGUUUGAGUGUCUUCAAAGCCCAUGACACCUUUGGUAAUAGCUGUUCUCCAACUGGAGCGCGUGCAGACCAGUGUUUCCCAGUUGUCGGUGUUUAUAAAAAAGAAAAAAAAGUUUUGCCUUGAGAGAGUCUUUAAACCUCUUUUGUUGACCACCAGCAUUACACUUUCCAUUUUAAAGUUUGGAAUAGAGUCAUUGCUUUGGAAGACGAUCAUCAGGCAUCCACACAACAUGACCAGUCCAACGAAGUUGAUGUUGAAGAAUCAUUGCUUUGACACUGGUGAUCUUUGCUUCUUCCAGUACACUGGCAUUAGUUUGCCUGUCUUCCCAAGUGAUGUGUAAAAGGAAUAUGGAACCCUUUAUCACACCACUGACUGCAUGGGUUCAAGACUGUUGCUCGCCGCUCACCUUUAUUUUCCUCAUCUGCUUCCUCCGGACCUUUCUUGGCAAUCCUGGGCUGUCUCAGCCUCCAGGGGAUUAAGCUGCACAUGUCUGUCCUGGCAGUGAAGAACGGGAACAUCAUGUUAUUUCCAUUCACUUCCCUCUAGUGUUCUCUCAGAGCCCUUCCAUCCACCGCUCAUGGCUUCCACGCUGAGCAGCCUUCUCCCAGGUUGCCAUGGUGCAGCUGCUGGCUUGUUAUUAAUAUGGUGGGUAACUUCAGAUCCUUGACCCCCUUUGCUUUUCACGGCUUUUCAUGGCGUAUUUCGCCCCUGAUUGUAUAGCUCCGCAUUCCCCAGCAAAAAGAUAAAACGCAAAUGAAAAGCUGCUGCUGCUUGAACGGGGAGAUGUGUUUCACAAAGGCACGCUGCAGCAACGGCAGAACUCCAGGG